UCCCUGAUGGUCUAGUGGUUAGGAUUUGGUGCUCUCACCACCAUGACCCAGGUUCAAUUCCCAGUUGGGGAG
rnacentral:tRNA from 1 species